AUUGAACGCUGGCGGCAGGCCUAACACAUGCGAGUCGAGCGGAUGAGGGGAGCUUGCUCCUGGAUUCAGCGGCGGACGGGUGAGUAAUGCCUAGGAAUCUGCCUGGUAGUGGGGGAUAACGUCCGGAAACGGGCGCUAAUACCGCAUACGUCCUGAGGGAGAAAGUGGGGGAUCUUCGGACCUCACGCUAUCAGAUGAGCCUAGGUCGGAUUAGCUAGUUGGUGGGGUAAAGGCCUACCAAGGCGACGAUCCGUAACUGGUCUGAGAGGAUGAUCAGUCACACUGGAACUGAGACACGGUCCAGACUCCUACGGGAGGCAGCAGUGGGGAAUAUUGGACAAUGGGCGAAAGCCUGAUCCAGCCAUGCCGCGUGUGUGAAGAAGGUCUUCGGAUUGUAAAGCACUUUAAGUUGGGAGGAAGGGCAGUAAGUUAAUACCUUGCUGUUUUGACGUUACCAACAGAAUAAGCACCGGCUAACUUCGUG
rnacentral:rRNA from 1 species